rnacentral:rRNA from 1 species
GACGAACGCUGGCGGCGUGCUUAACACAUGCAAGUCGAACGGAAAGGCCCUGCUUUUGUGGGGUGCUCGUGUGGCGAACGGGUGAGUAACACGUGAGUAACCUGCCCUUGACUUUGGGAUAAAUUCAGGAAACUGGGGCUAAUACCGGAUAGGAGCUCCUGCUGCACGGUGGGGGUUGGAAAGUUUCGGCGGUUGGGGAUGGACUCGCGGCUUAUCAGCUUGUUGGUGGGGUAGUGGCUUACCAAGGCUUUGACGGGUAGCCGGCCUGAGAGGGUGACCGGCCACAUUGGGACUGAGGUACGGCCCAGACUCCUACGGGAGGCAGUAGGGGGGAAUAUUGCACAAUGGGCGGAAGCCUGAUGCAGCAACGCCGCGUGCGGGAUGACGGCCUUCGGGUUGUAAACCGCUUUCGCCUGUGACGAAGCGUGAGUGACGGUAAUGGGUAAAGAAGCACCGGCUAACUACGUG